UACGGAGGGUGCAAGCGUUAUCCGGAUUCACUGGGUUUAAAGGGUGCGUAGGUGGCUUUGUAAGUCAGUGGUGAAAUCUCGGAGCUUAACUCCGCAACUGCCAUUGAUACUGCUUAGCUUGAAUCAAGUAGAGGUGGAUGGAAUAUUACAUGUAGCGGUGAAAUGCUUAGAUAUGUAAUAGAACACCGAUUGCGAAGGCAGUUCACUAUGCUUGUAUUGACACUGAGGCACGAAAGCGUGGGGAGCAAACAGG
rnacentral:rRNA from 1 species